GAUGAACGCUGGCGGCGUGCCUAAUACAUGCAAGUCGAGCGAACAGACGAGGAGCUUGCUCCUCUGACGUUAGCGGCGGACGGGUGAGUAACACGUGGAUAACCUACCUAUAAGACUGGGAUAACUUCGGGAAACCGGAGCUAAUACCGGAUAAUAUAUUGAACCGCAUGGUUCAAUAGUGAAAGACGGUUUUGCUGUCACUUAUAGAUGGAUCCGCGCCGCAUUAGCUAGUUGGUAAGGUAACGGCUUACCAAGGCAACGAUGCGUAGCCGACCUGAGAGGGUGAUCGGCCACACAGGAACUGAGACACGGUCCAGACUCCUACGGGAGGCAGCAGAAGGGAAUCUGCCGCAAUGGGCGAAAGCCUGACGGAGCAACGCCGCGUGAGUGAUGAAGAACUUCGGAUCGUAAAACUCUGUUAUUAGGGAAGAACAAAUGUGUAAGUAACUAUGCACGUCUGGACGGUACCUAAUCAGAAAGCCACGGCGAACUACGG
rnacentral:rRNA from 1 species